rnacentral:rRNA from 1 species
CGCAGGCUGCAACCCGCCCUGCGUGAAGUCGGAAUCGCUAGUAAUCGCGGAUCAGCAUGCCGCGGUGAAUACGUUCCCGGGCCUUGUACACACCGCCCGUCACACCAUGAGAGUCGGGAACACCCGAAGUCCGUAGCCUAACAGCAAUGAGGGCGCGGCCGAAGGUGGGUUCGAUAAUUGGGGUGAAGUCGUAACAAGGUACC